AAUAUUUGAGUAAGGACAUUUUCCCAUCUUUUACUAUCAUUUUAAUAUGUCAGGGGCUUGCAACUUCAGUUGGUCUCCAAAUAUCAAUUACGGUGUUUAAUUUUCUUAAUGAAGCUAUAAACAAAUUAACUGCUUGAUGUUCUUUGUGACUGAGUUAUACAUUCUAGUGCAUAUAGGAUCUAAUAUCACCCCGUGAAUGUGCAUAUGGG
rnacentral:misc_RNA from 1 species